rnacentral:misc_RNA from 1 species
UAUGUCAGCUCCUGGUU